rnacentral:rRNA from 1 species
CCUGAUCCAGCCAUCCCGCGUGUAUGAUGAAGGCCUUCGGAUUGUAAAGUACUUUUGGCAGAGAAGAAAAGGUAUCCUCUAAUACGAGGAUACUGCUGACGGUAUCUGCAGAAUAAGCACCGGCUAACUACGUGCCAGCAGCCGCGGUAAUACGUAGGGUGCAAGCGUUAAUCGGAAUUACUGGGCGUAAAGCGUGUGUAGGCGGUUCGGAAAGAAAGAUGUGAAAUCCCAGGGCUCAACCUGGGAACUGCAUUUUUAACUGCCGAGCUAGAGUAUGUCAGAGGGGGGUAGAAUUCCACGUGUAGCAGUGAAAUGCGUAGAUAUGUGGAGGAAUACCGAUGGCGAAGGCAGCCCCCUGGGAUAAUACUGACGCUCAGACACGAAAGCGUGGGGAGCAAACAGGAUUAGAUACCCUGGUAGUCCACGCCCUAAACGAUGUCAACUAGCUGUUGGGGCCGUUAGGCCUUAGUAGCGCAGCUAACGCGUGAAGUUGACCGCCUGGGGAGUACGGUCGCAAGAUUAAAACUCAAAGGAAUUGACGGGGACCCGCACAAGCGGUGGAUGAUGUGGAUUAAUUCGAUGCAACGCGAAAAACCUUACCUACCCUUGACAUGUCUGGAAAGCCGAAGAGAUUUGGCCGUGCUCGCAAGAGAACCGGAACACAGGUGCUGCAUGGCUGUCGUCA